GGAUGUGAAGGUGAUCUGGCUGUGUCAUCUGUCACCCCACUGAUCGCGAGGGUUGGGUCAGCUGAUACGGCUGGCUCUGCAGGUGUCUCCUUCCUCCCUCAAUGCUCCAUGUGUGUCCCUCCCAAAGCCGCGUGCUCUGUCGAAGAGGACGUGCACCCCCAAUAGAGGAGGCCGUUCCUCGGUCAACGGUAUACGAGCAGCUGCGCUCCCCUGCUAGAACCUCCAAACAAGCUCUCAAGGGACCUGCUGGAAGCCCCAGGGCCAAGCUCUCUACUUGGCAACAGGAA
rnacentral:snRNA from 1 species